rnacentral:lncRNA from 1 species
CGUUCCCACCCCUCUCCCCACUUCUUGUGUGCACUGCAGGCUUCUUAACAUGAGCUUUGUGUUUGAAAAACUUGCUCUCAAUGUCACAGGGAGUAAUGUCCUGCCUCCUCAUUGCUGGGCUCGCUCCUGCAAAGGGUGACAUGAGCACAAUGGCUCCCUGCAGGCUGGCCCGAGUGCAGACUGGCCACAUGCUACUGUGUUCUGGGCGGGAGGCAGGGCACAUGACCAUCAGACCUGGACCUGUCCCACUGGUGGGGCCUCGCGCCCAUCUGCAUUAUGCAGCCUGGGCCUCCCGCCAGCUAUGUCACAGGAUGAGGAGGUGUCUCCCACUCCCCAACGGCUGUCAUUUCAUAAACCCAUGGGGUCCCCCUCGAUAGCACCUCCAGCUUCCCAGAGCAGUUUUCAGCAUUUUGAAAACAAAAUGGUUAGUGUUGAUGCUCGACUGGUUCUCUUGGAGAUCACAGAAGGAAUCUUUAAAGCCAUGGCUCCAAGGUGCAGGCAGGAGAAGGACAAAGAUGCGCAUUUCCGAGCAGGCAGCCUGUGUUCCAGGGGUACCUCAAUGCUGGAUGGCUCCUCCUGCAGCAGCUCCAUCUAACCGAUGGCCUGGCUAGGACAACUGCCGUAGUUUAGAACAAAGGUUGAAUAAGGCCAGUCUGAUCAGGGACAGCUGCAGGACAACUAGUAUAGCAAGGCACGAACCAUCACGCCUCUCCUCCUCAGUGUCACCCUUUACAGCAGGCAGGACUGGACGGUGGCAGGGACGGAGUGAGAGAUGGCUCUCUGACGCACUGGCAACAUGAAACUGAGGACCCCAGCAUGCAACUGCUGGGAGCUCACACUUCACAGGACCCCCGCCUGCCUUCCCCCGUUCCUGCAGCCUCCAUCCCCCUCAUGGCGUCUGUGCACGAACAUGCUUCAAUCAGUGGGGCUCACACUCUGCAGAUCCAG